GGGGUUGUGGCUCAGUGGUAGAGCACUCACCUAGCACAUGUGAGGCACUGGGUUUGAUCCUCAGCACCA
rnacentral:tRNA from 1 species